UAGGGAAUCUUCCGCAAUGGACGCAAGUCUGACGGAGCAACGCCGCGUGAGUGAAGAAGGAUUUCGGUUCGUAAAACUCUGUUGUUAGAGAAGAACAGCGCAUAGAGUAACUGUUAUGCGUGUGACGGUAUCUAACAAGAAAGCCACGGCUAACUACGUGCCAGCAGCCGCGGUAAUACGUAGGUGGCAAGCGUUGUCCGGAUUUAUUGGGCGUAAAGCGAGCGCAGGCGGUCAAAUAAGUCUGAUGUGAAAGCCCCCGGCUCAACCGGGGAGGAUCAUUGUGUGCUGGUUGACUUGCGUGCAGAAGAGGAGAGUGGAAUUCCAUUUGUAGCGUUGAAAUUCGUUAUUAUAUGGAUGAACACCAGUGGCGAAGGCGACUCUCUGGUCUGUAACUGACGCUGAGGCUCGAAAGCGUGGGUAGCAAACAGG
rnacentral:rRNA from 1 species